GCCCCCGUAGCGCAAUGGUAGCGCGUAAGACUUCUAAUCUUAAGGUUGCGAGUUCGAGCCUCGCCGGGGGCU